GGCGAACGCUGGCGGCGUGCCUAAUACAUGCGAGUCGAACGCUUCUUUCCUCCCGAGUGCUUGCACUCAAUUGGAAAGAGGAGUGGCGGACGGGUGAGUAACACGUGGGUAACCUACCCAUCAGAGGGGGAUAACACUUGGAAACAGGUGCUAAUACCGCAUAACAGUUUAUGCCGCAUGGCAUAAGAGUGAAAGGCGCUUUCGGGUGUCGCUGAUGGAUGGACCCGCGGUGCAUUAGCUAGUUGGUGAGGUAACGGCUCACCAAGGCCACGAUGCAUAGCCGACCUGAGAGGGUGAUCGGCCACACUGGGACUGAGACACGGCCCAGACUCCUACGGGAGGCAGCAGUAGGGAAUCUUCGGCAAUGGACGAAAGUCUGACCGAGCAACGCCGCGUGAGUGAAGAAGGUUUUCGGAUCGUAAAACUCUGUUGUUAGAGAAGAACAAGGACGUUAGUAACUGAACGUCCCCUGACGGUAUCUAACCAGAAAGACACGGCUAACUACGUG
rnacentral:rRNA from 1 species